ACUUCGGCCCUACCUUCCUACAGAUAUUAUUUUAAUGAGUUUAGGUGUAUAUUUUUAUUUCAAAAAAAAUCUUCUGGGUCUCAGGCAACUCAUUUAAGAAACAUGGCAUGCCCAUGCCUGCUCCGAGAUUUCUGAGCAGAGAAGCAGGCUUCCUCCGGGAAGAGGCGCAAAGCCAGUGAGUAGAAACCACUUUUAACCAAAGUGGCAGAAGGAUAAACCCUCAGACACUUUGUUUUCCAUAAAGAUCUGUAAUAGAAGUUUUUCCAUGACUUCCAAUGACUUAAUCUUUUCAAUUGCUACUGCAGAGCUACCUUUGGCCAACUGAAAACUAAAUGGAGUUACAGUGUAGGUGCUCUUUCUUGAUUGAACUGGUAGUUUCGGUGUUAUAAUCAUUUCGCACAAUCCUAAAUAAUAUCUUUGUAUCAAACUGGGAGGGAAGAAUUAUAGACUGUUCCCUGGGUUAAUUCUCACUCUGACUCGUUUUCUCUAUUAAGCUGCCUCAGUAUCUCCAUAUGUACAAUGGACUUAAACUGCACUGACAGGAUUGUCUUGAAAAUAAAUGGGUUUGCGAAGGUCUCUGAAGUUGACAAAUGCUGAGAAUUAUCAUUAGAUAUUAUUGUCCUGACAAACUGACGAGAUGAGGUUUAUGCCGACAAAGAGUACAGAGAGCCACUAUUCAUGCAGUAUCUCUCCUGAGGCAAAACAGACUGCUUCAUUGUCCAUCUGGCACCUCUGAAGCAUUGGGAACUUUCUGCUAGAAAUUCAAAUAGUUCUUUAGACCCAUUGGACAGGAUACCUCUGCAGAGACAUUUUAAGUAGGUUCCCCACUGGCCUGAUCUCACCUCCAUCCACUAUCUGAAAUUCAGAUCAGUGGAGUCAGUUGGAGGUUAGACAUCAAAAGGAGAAGGCGAAGGGAAAUUUUCUCCACAAGGGCUUUGCAAGGAACUCAACUCUGAGGGGGCUCAGUAUCCCGUUCCUCGUCAGGCUGAGCUUCAGUUCAGAAGGUAUAAAGGAAAGACACACACACCCAACGAUGCACCAGCUAUGGUGGUGGAUGAAGACACGCUUAAAAGAAGAUAGAAAUGAAAGAGGUGAGGGGGAGUUUAGAAAAUGUAUCCCUAGGCAAAUAUGCAGCUCUGCAUCUACUUUAAAAAUCUAAGACCUAAGGGGACAAUUUGUUUUAACUAGCACUCCAACAAAGAAGGAAAUAACAGGAAAAAACAUUACUGAUUAAAAGAAAGCAAAUCUUGAAAAGAACUGUAUAAUCAAAAGAUGUUAUAUUUUUUAAAAUAAAGAUAAAAUGUAUACAGAGGUAAAUCCA
rnacentral:lncRNA from 12 species